ACUAGGAUUAGAUACCCUAUUAUUGAAAUUUAAAAUUAUAAUACUAAAAUAGUAAUUAAUUAUUUAUUGAAACUUAAAUAAUUUGGCGGUAUUUUAGUUCAUUUAGAGGAAUCUGUUUAAUAAUUGAUAUUCCACGAAUAAAUUUACUUAAUUUAUUAAUUUUGUAUAUCGUUGUUAUAAAAAUAUUUUUUAAUAAAAUUAAUAUUUAAAAAUUAUUAUAUAAAUUUAAAUCAGAUCAAGAUGCAGAUUAUAAUUAAGAAUAUAAUGGAUUACAAUGAAAUUAUUUAUAUGAAUAUAAAUUUGUAAAAAUUAAUUGAAAGUGGAUUUAAAUGUAAUUUUAUUUAAUUUAAUAAUAUGAUUAAAAAUUAAAAUAUGUACACAUCGC
rnacentral:rRNA from 1 species